GACGAACGCUGGCGGUGUGCUUCACACAUGCAAGUCGAACGGGGUAGCAAUACCCAGUGGCGGACGGGUGAGUAACGCGUAGGAAUCUACCUUUGGGUGGGGGAUAACAGUCCGAAAGGACUGCUAAUACCGCAUAUGUAUGCAACUCGACAGGGUUGUAUAUGAAAGGAGUAAUUCGCCUGGAGAUGAGCCUGCGUCCGAUUAGCUAGUUGGUGGGGUAAAAGCCUACCAAGGCGACGAUCGGUAGCUGGUCUGAGAGGAUGAUCAGCCACAAUGG
rnacentral:rRNA from 1 species